GAUCACGCUGGCGGCGUGCCUCAGACAUGCAAGUCGAACGCGAAAGUUUCCUUCGGGAGAUGAGUAGAGUGGCGCACGGGUGAGUAACACGUAGGUAAUCUACCUUUGGGUGGGGAAUAACGCAGGGAAACUUGCGCUAAUACCGCAUAAUGCAGCGGCACCACAUGGUGACAGUUGUUAAAGCGGGGGAUUUUCGAACCUCGCGCCUAAAGAGGAGCCUGCGGCAGAUUAGCUAGUUGGUAAGGUAACGGCUUACCAAGGCGACGAUCUGUAGCCGGCCUGAGAGGGCGGUCGGCCACACUGACACUGACAUACGGGUCAGACUCCUACGGGAGGCAGCAGUCGGGAAUUUUGGGCAAUGGGCGAAAGCCUGACCCAGCAACGCCGCGUGAAGGAUGAAAUCCUUAGGGAUGUAAACUUCGCAAGAAUGGGAAGAAUUAGUAGGGGUUAAUACCCCCUAUGAUGACGGUACCAUUUGUAAGCUCCGGCUAACUCCGUGCCAGCAGCCGCGGUAAUACGGGGGGAGCAAGCGUUGUUCGGAUUUACUGGGCGUAAAGGGCGCGUAGGCGGUCAGCACAAGUCAGUUGUGAAAUCUCCGGGCUUAACUCGGAAAGGUCAACUGAUACUGUGCGACUAGAGUGCAGAA
rnacentral:rRNA from 1 species